rnacentral:misc_RNA from 1 species
GAUGAAGAACGCAGCGAAAUGCGAUAAGUAAUGUGAAUUGCAGAAUUCAGUGAAUCAUCGAAUCUUUGAACGCACAUUGCGCCCGCCAGUAUUCUGGCGAGCAUGCCUGUUCGAGCGUCAUUUCAACCAUCAAGCCCCAGGCUUGUGUUGGAGCCCUGCGGCUGCCGCAGCCUCCCAAAACCAGUGGCGGGCUCGCUAUCACACCGAGUGCAGUAGUUUACUCUUCGCUCAGGGCGUGUGGCGGGUGCUAGCCGUGAAACCCCCAACUUCUCAAGGUUGACCUCGGAUCAGGUAGGAAUACCCGCUGAGCUUAAGCAUAUCAAUAAGCGGAGGA